rnacentral:rRNA from 1 species
UACGGAGGGGGCUAGCGUUGUUCGGAAUUACUGGGCGUAAAGCGCGCGUAGGCGGCUUUGUAAGUUAGAGGUGAAAGCCCAGGGCUUAACCCUGGAAUUGCCUUUAAGACUGCAUCGCUAGAAUCGUGGAGAGGUGAGUGGAAUUCCGAGUGUAGAGGUGAAAUUCGUAGAUAUUCGGAAGAACACCAGUGGCGAAGGCGGCUCACUGGCCCGUUACCGACGCUCAGGCGCGACAGCGUGGGGAGCAAACAGG